rnacentral:rRNA from 1 species
UACAGAGGUCUCAAGCGUUGUUCGGAUUCAUUGGGCGUAAAGGGCGCGUAGGCGGCGCGGUAAGUCGGGUGUGAAAUCUCGGAGCUUAACUCCGAAACUGCAUUCGAUACUGCCGUGCUUGAGGACUGGAGAGGAGACUGGAAUUUACGGUGUAGCGGUGAAAUGCGUAGAUAUCGUAAGGAAGACCAGUGGCGAAGGCGGGUCUCUGGACAGUUCCUGACGCUGAUGCACGAAGGCCAGGGGAGCAAACGGG